rnacentral:rRNA from 1 species
CCUACGGGUGGCUGCAGUAGGGAAUAUUGGGCAAUGGGCGAAAGCCUGACCCAGCCAUGCCGCGUGCAGGAAGAAGGCCUUCUGGGUUGUAAACUGCUUUUAUCUGGGAAGAAAACACCUAUGCGUAGGGAACUGACGGUACCAGAUGAAUAAGCACCGGCUAACUCCGUGCCAGCAGCCGCGGUAAUACGGAGGGUGCAAGCGUUGUCCGGAUUUAUUGGGUUUAAAGGGUGCGUAGGCGGCCCGUUAAGUCAGUGGUGAAAGCCUCCAGCUCA